rnacentral:misc_RNA from 1 species
GAUGAAGAACGUAGCGAAAUGCGAUAAGUAAUGUGAAUUGCAGAAUUCAGUGAAUCAUCGAAUCUUUGAACGCACAUUGCGCCCUUUGGCAUUCCGAAGGGCACACCUGUCCGAGCGCCGUCGCACAACUGAGGCGCAGCCUUGCGUUGGCGGGCGACUUGUGAGUAGCGAGUCGCCGCCCAAACGAGACGGCGCCGCGCCGCGACCGACGAAGCACGAAAGCGGAAGUCGACGCGGAGGCGGUUGCCUGUAGGAAGACACAGCUUGGCCUCGGAUCAGGUGGGGAUACCCGCUGAACUUAAGCAUAUCAAUAAGCGGAGGA